AUCAACGGAAAGCUUUUGGCUAGGGUUUGACUGAUAAGCAGCUGAGGGUUUUCAGUUUACGCAGAUGGAGGCAGUGAGUUUGAGGCAGCAAAUGCAUAACUUGUAGAAUUAUGAAUGGGAAAAGUGAUGGUACCGAUGACUUUCUUGCAAGUUAUGCAGUUGCUGCCUCAAGCUUGCUGCCUCCCUCUGCCAAAACUAGUGUGGACAAAAUAACCCAUGUCAAUGCAUUAUGGAGGCCCAUCAUUUGCUAGUAUGUUUGAGAUCUUAGUCAGAUUUUGCUUCAGUGAUCUUCACAGAUUCGCUGAUCUUGUCGGAGUCAAACCUUAUAAUGCUAUUCUGGUUAGAUAAAAAUCGGUUGAGAAUGUCUGCAGACCGUCUCAUGUCAGCUUUGAUGCAAAACAUAUCUUUGGCCUAUAGCAUUCAGUAAUGUUCUGCAUAACACAUUUGCUAGCGUUAUAUAUUGUUUGGGACACAGUGUGGGUACUCCUCUUUCAACUAUUUCUAGGUGAAUGCUGUCCAUUACAUCUCCUUCACAUGAGAUGGGUGAUUUGCAGAUGUCUCA
rnacentral:miRNA from 1 species